AUGGAACGACACAACCUGAUAAAGCCAUCAAAUAGUGAGUACCAUUCUCCCGUGGUUCUUGUGAAAAAGAAACAGUCAGGGCAAUGGAGAUUUUGUUGUGAUUAUCGUUUGCUCAACAAGCAAACAAUUCCUAUGUCCUUUCCAUUGCCUAGGCUUGAAUGUGUCUUUGAUACAUUAGGAGAAUCACAAGCAAAUAUAUUCUCAUCACUUGAUCUUUAUAGUGGCUUCCAUCAAAUUGAGAUGGACGAGGAAACAAGGCACAAAUCUGCAUUCAUUACACGAAAUGGUGUUUAUGAAUGGCUUCGUUUACCUUUCGGUCUCAGAAACUCUCCUGUCAGUUUUCAGAUGAUCAUGACUCAAGUGCUCAGAGGGUUAAAUUGGAAAUUUGUUUUGGUCUAUGUCGAUGACAUUCUUAUCUUUAGUAAAACUUUUGAGGAGCAUCUUAGGCAUCUAGAACAAGUAUUUAACAGACUCCGAGACGCAAAUCUUACAUUGAAACCAACCAAAUGUGAGUUUGCAGUCAAAGAAGUCAAAUACUUAGGUCACAUCCUAUCAAAACACGGAGUUCAGGUGGAUCCAUCUAAAACGGAUGCGGUUAGUUCAUUUCCGGUUCCUAAAAAUCAAAAACAGGUUAAAUCUUUUCUGGGCAUGUGUAGUUACUAUCGGAAGUUCGUUGAUUCUUUUGCUAACAUUGCUUCUCCUUUGAAUGCUUUAUUGAGAAAGGAUUUUGAAAAGAAAUUUCAUUGGACUUCGUUAUGUCAAGAAGCUUUUGACAAGCUCAAAAAGGCUUUAUUAUCAGCACCGAUCUUGGCAUAUCCUGAUAUGAACAAACCUUUUAUGCUGACUUGUGAUGCUAGUAGUACGGCAAUUGGGUUUGUUUUAGGUCAAUUAGAUAGUCAAGGUCGAGAGCAUGUCAUAGCUUAUGGAGGUAGAAGUUUGUCUAGGGCAGAACGAAUCUGGUGCACCACAGAACAAGAAUGUUUAGCUGUUCUAGAGGGUGUCAAACAUUUUCGUGCUUAUUUGACUCGUCGAUUCAGAAUUUUCACAGAUCACAAGGCUCUUAAAUAUUUGAUGGAUCAAAAGGUUGCAGUCGGUAAAUUAGGUCGUUGGGCUCUUAAAUUACAAGACUUCGACUUUGAUAUCGUUCACAAACCAGGUAAAAACAAUGAGGUGGCAGAUGCUCUCAGCAGACGCACAUAUAUACUGAAGUGGCUGAUGAAAAUAAAACAUCGCCAGUGAAAGUGUUUGUUGCAAAUGCAAAUGAAAAUGAGUUUCUGUCAGAUACAAUUGAGGUUAAUGCUUGUGAGACAGAUCUAGAGGUAGACAAUAAAGGAGACGAGGACUUGGAGAGUGUAGAGCUCGAAUUAUUUUAUGGAGACUAUACACUUCUUGCUCCUCUAGAUCCUGAAGUCGUCAAUAGUGAGUUAUUGGACAUUCCUGCUGUAGGUCAGUUACAACAAGUUGACCCAGAUUUUCAGGAUAUGUUUAAUUACUUGCAAAAUGACGUUUUACCUCAAAGUGAAAAGGUUCGACAAAAAGUUCUAGCAGAAUCUCAAGAUUACUCGGUUUGUGAUGGUGUUUUGUAUAAAUGGUUUCAAAAGAGGUUUAAAACGAGUCCAGAUGAAAAGUACAUUAAACAAUUAUGUCUUCCAUUAGCUCUCAGACGUCAUGCUUUGCUAGCUUAUCAUGACUUGAAUUAUGGUGGUGCACACUUAGGAUUGGACAGGGUUUUGGCUGCUUUGAGACAAAAAUAUUUUUGGCCAAAAAUGCACCAAACAGUCAAAGACCAUGUUCUUUCUUGUGACAGGUGUCAACGAAUUAAGGUUGACCAUACACGCAAAAAUCCACCUUUAAAUCCUUUGCCAGUGGUAGGUCCAUUUGAUCGAUGGCAUAUGGAUUUCUUAAAGCUGAGCAAGACAAACAAAGGUGAAACAUACUUGCUCGUUUUGGUUGAUAGUUGUAGUAAGUGGGUUGAAGCAUUUGCUAUGAAAACACAAGAGGCUUCUGAAGUUGCAAAGGUCUUGUUCAAAGAGGUUUUCUCUAGAUUUGGCGCAGCAAGGUUUUUGGUUAGUGAUCGUGGAAAAAGCUUCAUGAAUAACUUAGUUCUGUCGUUAUGUGAGAUAUUUGAUGUUACAAGAUAUCAUACUAGCUCGUACCAUCCUCAAACAAAUGGGUUAGUAGAAAGGUGCAACUCAACUCUGAUAAAGUCUUUCAGAGCAUACUGUGAUAAGGCUCAAAAUAAUUGGCCCGAUAAAUUACCCGGAAUUUUAAUGGCUUUACGCAAUUCUCCUUCAACUCAAUCAACUGAGUUUUCUCCCUUUCAUUUGCUGUUUGGUAGAGAAAUGAAUCUACCUUUUGACACUUCUGUUACACCUAAACAGAAUUUGUCAUCAGAUGCCAAGCUUCAAAUGGAAGAAGUUCUAUCAAAUCUAAAGAUCACACAAGAUCUUGCCACUAAAAAUAUGUUAGAAAAACAGUUAAAAUCUAAAGAGCGAUACGACCGAAAUUCAAAAAUUCCACAAUUUAAAGUAAGGGAUUUUUAG
rnacentral:sRNA from 1 species